rnacentral:rRNA from 1 species
AGAGUUUGAUCAUGGCUCAGAACGAACGCCGGCGGCGUGGAUAAGACAUGCAAGUCGAACGCGACUUUUUUAGUUAGCAAUAAUUGAGAAAGUUGAGUGGCGAAAGGGUGAGUAACACGUGGGAAUCUACCGAGAAGUGGGGAAUAGCUUGGCGAAAGCCAAAUUAAUACCCCAUGUUGUCGUAAGACUAAAGCGGGGGACCGUAAGGCCUCGCGCUUCUUGAGGAGCCCGCGUCCUAUCAGCUAGUUGGUGAGGUAAAAGCUCACCAAGGCUAUGACGGGUAGCUGGUCUGAGAGGACGGCCAGCCACACUGGAACUGAGACACGGUCCAGACACCUACGGGUGGCAGCAGUCGAGAAUUUUUCACAAUGGGGGAAACCCUGAUGGAGCGACGCCGCGUGGAGGAUGAAGGUCUUCGGAUCGUAAACUCCUGUCACCUCAGAGCAAAAUCACUUACGUUAAUAGCGUGGGUGGUCGAUGGUAUGAGGAGAGGAAGGGACGGCUAACUCUGUGCCAGCAGCCGCGGUAAUACAGAGGUCCCAAGCGUUGUUCGGAUUCACUGGGCGUAAAGGGUGUGUAGGAGGUCUUGAAAGUCGGGUGUGAAAGCCCACCGCUUAACGGUGGAACUGCAUUCGAUACUGCAGGACUAGAGGAUCGGAGGGGCAAGCGGAAUUCAUGGUGUAGCAGUGAAAUGCGUAGAUAUCAUGAGGAACACCGGUGGCGAAGGCGGCUUGCUGGAAGAUUCCUGACUCUGAAACACGAAAGCCAGGGGAGCAAACGGGAUUAGAUACCCCGGUAGU